rnacentral:rRNA from 1 species
UCGUAGAGAUUAGGAGGAACACCAGUGGCGAAGGCGACUUUCUGGACUGUAACUGACGCUGAGGUACGAAAGCGUGGGUAGCGAACAGGAUUAGAUACCCUGGUAGUCCACGCCGUAAACGAUGGAUACUAGGUGUAGGGGGUAUCGACCCCCCCUGUGCCGGAGUUAACGCAAUAAGUAUCCCGCCUGGGGAGUACGGUCGCAAGACUGAAACUCAAAGGAAUUGACGGGGGCCCGCACAAGCAGCGGAGCAUGUGGUUUAAUUCGAAGCAACGCGAAGAACCUUACCAGGGCUUGACAUCCCGAUGACCGGUACAGAGAUGUACCUUCCCUUCGGGGCAUUGGAGACAGGUGGUGCAUGGUUGUCGUCAGCUCGUGUCGUGAGAUGUUGGGUUAAGUCCCGCAACGAGCGCAACCCCUAUCCUUAGUUGCCAUCAGUUAAAGCUGGGCACUCUAAAGAGACUGCCGGGGAUAACUCGGAGGAAGGUGGGGAUGACGUCAAAUCAUCAUGCCCCUUAUGUCCUGGGCUACACACGUGCUACAAUGGCCUGUAACAGAGGGAAGCGAAGUCGUAAGGCGGAGCAAAACUCAGAAACCAGGUCCCAGUUCGGAUUGUGGGCUGCAACUCGCCCACAUGAAGUCGGAGUUGCUAGUAAUCGCGAAUCAGCAUGUCGCGGUGAAUACGUUCCCGGGCCUUGUACACACCGCCCGUCACACCAUGGAAGUUGGGGGGACCCGAAGCCGGUGACCUAACCUUUUUAGGGAGGAGCCGUCGAAGGUAAACUCGAUGACUAGGGUGAAGUCGUAACAAGGUAGCA